AGUGGGGUCCAGGCAGUGAGGGCCUCAUCAGGGGGACCUAGUCAGUGAGUCAGUGAGGGCUUGGUGAGUGGGGGCCUCGUCAGUGGGGCCUUGUGCCUGCACAGACCCAGGCCCAGGGGAUGCCCAAUGCUGGGAGGAGGCUCAGACAGCAGGAAGGAGAGAAGGAAGGAAGGAACUUCCGUAGUACCGAUGCCUACAAAAUUACAACACGUGGUGCUGUUUCUACUCCAUCACCAUGUUCGCUCUUUAUUUCCUAUGUAAUUCUCUAUUCAACCGGCCUCAGUUGAGCACAAAACCAUCCUUGUACCACCAUGAAUAGUUGGCCAUGGCUCUUUGAUAGCAAUUUUUGUUCUGCCGUAGAAAUUAUCCUUGAACCAGAAAAAAAAAUCCCCAAUUCAACACUCCAUUUUUGUGAAGAGCUGGUUCCGAAUUCUGGGUCACUUUUUGGAAAAAAUAUCUGUUGUGGUAAACAGUGCUGCAUCUGUGAUCUCAAGUCUCUACUGGAAUUGGAUAGAGAUGGUGAAUUUCAGCCAGAGCGCCCAAAGAACUCGUGUCCCGCGCUCCUGAACGCCAUCAGCCGCCGCACCUCCAUCUUCCCUCCUCCCACGAGUCUCCUGCUCCCCGUGACUCUGGCCUCCUCGCAGUGUUGCUGGGCCACGUCAGGAAGUGCUGGAGGACGUGGCAUUGCACCAACACCAGGCGGCCAGCCGUGUGGCUCAUCCCGCAAAUCAGGCUCUUCCUGUGCAUGGAGAUGGAGUCCCUCUGGAGGCAGCCCGUGGCCCUGUUCUCGGGCAGGUGGAGCAUGGAGACGACUGGGAACUUCACUAGACACGCAUCCAGCCGGUUCAAGGGCUUGUCGCGCCGUGCACCAGCUUGCAGGAGAAAGCCCAACGCCUCGCCAAGCACGAAGGCCUCCCUUCCCGACUUGAUGAAGGCAGAGUAGCGGUUGAGGUUGCGGCUCACAGUGACCGAGCUCCUGCCCACGUGGGGACCCAGGGAGCCGUCGAGCUCCAGCCCAGGCUUGGACCUGAAGAAGCUGGCAACCCGCGAACGCCAACAGGCACAGUCGAAAAAAGCAAAAGAAAAA
ensembl:lncRNA LINC00905 long intergenic non-protein coding RNA 905